CUCAUAUUAAAAGAUAUAAAAUUUUAAUCAAUAACGAGAGUGACGGGCGAUGUGUACACACUUCAGAGCCAAUAUCAGUUAAAUUAAAUAAUUUAAAUUACUAUCAAAUCCACCUUCAUUAAAAUAUUACAAAAUUAAAUCCAUAAUAAAAAAAAAAUUAUUGUAACCCAUCAUACACUUAAUUAUAAGCUGCACCUUGACCUGAAAUAAAUUUUAAUAAAAAAACAAGAAAAUUUUUUCUCCAAAAAGAUUUUCUGAUAACGGAGAUAUACAAACAAAUAAAUUAAGUAAAGUAAAUCGUGUACUAUCAAUCAUGAGAUAGGUUCCUCUGAAUGGAAUGAAAUACCGCCAAAUUCUUUGGGUUUAAAGACCUUAACUAAUAAUACCCAGGUAAAACAAAAUUUACAUUUAAAAUAAUA
rnacentral:rRNA from 1 species